AUUGAACGCUGGCGGCAGGCCUAACACAUGCAAGUCGAACGAGUGGCGGACGGGUGAGUAAUGUCUGGGAAACUGCCCGAUGGAGGGGGAUAACUACUGGAGACGGUAGCUAAUACCGCAUACCAUCUGAUGUGCCCAGAUGUGAUUAGCUUGUAGGUGAGGUAACGGCUCACCUCGGGGACGCUCCCUAGCUGGUCUGAGAGGAUGACCAGCCACACUGGAACUGAGAAACGGUCCAGACUCCUACGGGAGGCAGCAGUGGGGAAUAUUGGACAAGGGGCGCAAGCCUGAUGCAGCCAUGCCGCGUGUAUGAAGAAGGCCUUCGGGUUGUAAAGGACUUUCAGCGGGGAGGCGUUACCCGCAGAAGAAGCACCGGCUAACUCCGUGCCAGCAGCCGCGGUAAUAC
rnacentral:rRNA from 1 species